rnacentral:lncRNA from 1 species
UCGUCAUUCCUAUAGAUAAAAACAUGUAAACGAACCUCAGAGAGAGAAUGAAUGACGUAAAAGCAGUUACGGAGAGAGAUUUUCUUCUCGCGCAGGAAAGAAAAAGGGUGGUGUGCACGUACUGCCCCGUAUGAGAGAGAAAAAGAGACCGAAAGGAUUUAUAUAGCAUCCGAACUCAUCCACGGGAAAUUAUGCAAAGCAAAUACUAACAGAUUAAAUACAGGAAUAAACGACAGCUAUAUCAUCGUAACUGUACCGGAUUGUUAGCUUAAUAUUCAUUAGUGAGUUAUGUAUUAUAUACAAAGGGAAGGGAAGGGAUGGGAUGAAUUGGAUAUUUUUUUGUGUUUAUCUGGGAAUUUGUGAUGAGUGAAU